rnacentral:misc_RNA from 1 species
CGACCCGUGGCCAUUCAGGUACCCACCUGCCUCGAUAAUAGGCUGUGACAAUUACGUAAACUCUUGUAGGCAAGGAAUUCCAAAGAGGUCCUUAUCCACACCUGGCACAAUUUGAACCCUCACAACUGAAUUUUGAUGAUUCCCUAGACCGCGUAUGCCCAACACCACCGCAAACUCAAGCGUGUCUGUUUGUUGCUACUGUUUUUCAUUUUUGCUGCCUUU